CAGGUGACCCCUAGGGGUUGAGGGUCUCAAUCCUACAACUGCAAGGAGCUGAAUUCGUACGACAACCAGUGCAUUGGGAAGAGGGACCCUGAGUCUAUGACGCGAGAGCUAUUGUGCGAGGUCAUAAAGAGCAUGUGGUCACCAGUUGACCUUCAGGCUGGUUAGCCGAUGGACACUCAUCACUCCCUCCCCCGUCCUUGGACGGUACAUUCUGCUUGCCUCCCCCAUUCCCAGAGGCUGCCCCAAAGAUACAGCCUUGAGAUAGCUUGUGUUGACAGCCUGUGGCUGGUAUGUGUGAUUGAACCCAGUUAAGGCCUCUAUAUAAAGCUUUGAGAUUUGGUGGGGGAGUGGGGAGAUCCGCUCGUCUCAGGGUGCCCCCUUGCUUAUUGGAACUGCCACCCACCAAUCUGGGGUGGUAUCCUUCUUUCUUCGCCCUCUCCGUGCCCUUCAAGUGUGGGGGCCAGAUUCAGAUGGCAUCCGAGGAGCUCCCAGCCCUGGCUGCCACCUUGAUUUCAGCCUAGUGAGACCCUGAGCAGGGGACCCAGCUAACCUGGACCUUGGUUCUCGACCUUUGGAAACUGCAAGGAUGUAGCCAGAAGACAGAAAGGGAGUCCUACACAUCAAAAGUGGAAGCGAAAACAUAGCAAUCAUGUCCUUUGAACAGACACCCUAAUCAUCUUUCCGAGGCUGCGUGCCGGGUUGCCACAGGGCAUGUGUGUUAAGAAUGACACCCUCUGCUGCUUCUGUUCCGGCAAGUCACAGCUUCAAAGCCCCUCCAUGUGCUCGUCAAGACCCAGUCUCACCAGGCAGAAGAAAGGACUCUUAAGGACUCCAGGAUGCUGUGCUCUAAGCUGGAGGCAGAGAGUCCUGCUGUCACAAAUGACAUGAAUGGCCCGUCCUGACUGACGUGUGGCCCCACCGAAUCCCCCACACAGCCCGUGAGACAAGUGGGUGUUUCCCUUACUUCACAGAUGAAGGAAAUGAACCUCACGAGGUUGUGAUCUCAUGGCUUCGUGGGUUUGAGCCCCAAGUCGGGCUCUGUGCUGACAGCAUGGAGCCUGCUUGGGAUUCUCUCUCUCCCCCUCUCUCUGCCCUCCCCCACUCAGACAGAGUCUCUGUCUCUCUCAAAAUGAAUAAAUAAACUUAAAAAAUUAAA